ACGGCUCAGUAACACGUAAGUAAUCUACCCUGGGAUGGGGGAUAAUCUCGGAAAACUGAGGCUAAUACCCCAUAGGGAACGGAAACUGGAAUGUCCUGUCCCUGAAAGCCCUCGGGCGUCUCAGGAUGAGCUUGCGGCGGAUUAGGCUGUUGGUGAGGUAAAGGCUCACCAAACCGAAGAUCCGUACGGGAUGUGAGAGCACUAGCCCGGAGAAUGGUACUUAGACAAGGACCAUAGCCCUACGGGGUGCAGCAGGCGCGGAACCUUUACAAUGCGCGAAAGCGUGAUAAGGGGACUCCAAGUGGAUCCUUACGGAUCCUUUUGCGGAGCUUAAAAAACUCUACGAAUAAGGGCUGGGUAAGACCCGUGCCAGCCGCCGCGGUAACACGGGCAGCUCGAGUAGUGUUCGCGAAUAUUGGGCUUAAAGCGUUCGUAGCCGGUCCGGAAAGUCUUUGGUGAAAGCUUGCGAUUUAAUCGUAAGAAGUGCCAAGGAAACUAUCGGACUUGGGGCCGGGAGAGGUUGGAGGAACUCUCGGGGUAGGGGUAAAAUCCUAUAAUCCCGGGAAGACCAUCGGUGGCGAAGGCGUCCAACUAGAACGGGCCCGACGGUGAGGAACGAAAGCUAGGGGAGCGACCCGGAUUAGAUACCCGGUUAGUCCUAGCCGUAAAUGAUGUCGGCUUGGUGUUGCACAACUCACGAGGUUGUGCAGCGCCGGAGGGAACCUGUUAAGCCGACCGCCUGGGAAGUAUGGCCGCAAGGCUAAAACUUAAAGGAAUUGGCGGGGGAGUACCACAAGGGGUGGAGGCUGCGGUUUAAUUGGAUUCAACGCCGGA
rnacentral:rRNA from 1 species